GGUGUGUGUGUUGCAGCUGGUGUUGUGAAUCAGGCCGAUGACACACACCUCCUAAAAGCCGGCUAUUUCACAACACCAGGGUGGCACCGCAUCACU
ensembl:miRNA microRNA 138-2